CUCACGUUCACGUUAUAGGAAUUUAUUACUUUACCGUUCUAUACCGUAUAAUUUUACAUCCCAGCCUACUGUGGCUGAAUUGCGUAAAAAUUACAAGUACAUAGUACAUACAAAAUAGUUACAGAUAUAUAUCCGAUACUCGAUAGAUAGAUCUAAAUCCAAAGGGUCAUUUAUAUUAUAAAAUAUUACAAGUUUAUAAAAUGUUAAAAUACACAGUAUGGUUCAUAUCUACUUCUAAAGCUACGAACAGCCUCAAAAAAUUUGACGGUGGUUGCGUGCCCCGAGGUUGUGCCCAGUCGCGUAUAUAUAAUAGAAUGCCCCGAUUAACGAACGAUCUAUAUAUAACUGAUAACAACUAAACAUUGCAGAUUGUCCAGUGGCAUGGCUACGUCAUUGUGUAUCAUCUUUAUAUUGAAACCCAACAACUUUUAUCAACGGGGGCAAUAGUCCUAGGAAUAUCGCCCCCGGGGGUGAAUAUUAGGAAUAUUGCCCCCCUUUAGGAUAUUCGCUGCCCAUAUAUGCGAUAUGAUUUAUUCAAAUAAUUAUAUAUAUAUAUAUAUAUAUAUAUAUAUAU